AAUCUGGGACAAUGGGGGCAAUCCUGAUCCAGUCAUGCCGCGAGAGUUAAGAAUGUCUUCUGUCAGUAAAGCACUUUUAGGUGGGAGGAAUGGCUCGAGGCUAAUACCCUGAAGUUUUGACGUUACCAACAGAAUAAGCACCGGCUAACUUCGUGCCAGCAGCCGAGGUAAUACGAAGGGUGCAAGCGUUAUUCGGAAUUACUGAGCGUAAAGCGCGCGUAGGUGGUUUGUUAAGUUGAAAGUGAAAGCCCCGGGCUCAACCUGGGAACUGCUUUCAAAACUGGCAAGCUAGAGUAUGGCAGAGGGUGGUGGAAUUUCCUGUGUAGCGGUGAAAUGCGUAGAUAUAGGAAGGAACAUCAGUGGCGAAGGCGACCACCUGGGCUAAUACUGACACUGAGGUGCGAAAGCGUGGGGAGCAAAC
rnacentral:rRNA from 1 species